GUAGGUGGCAAGCGUUGUCCGGAAUUAUUGGGCGUAAAGCGCGCGCAGGCGGUUCUUUAAGUCUGAUGUGAAAGCCCACGGCUCAACCGUGGAGGGUCAUUGGAAACUGGAGAACUUGAGUACAGAAGAGGAAAGCGGAAUUCCACGUGUAGCGGUGAAAUGCGUAGAGAUGUGGAGGAACACCAGUGGCGAAGGCGGCUUUCUGGUCUGUAACUGACGCUGAGGCGCGAAAGCGUGGGGGAGCAAACAGGAUUAGAUACCCUGGUAGUCCACGCCGUAAACGAUGAGUGCAAGUGUUAGGGGGUUUUCCGCCCCCUUAGUGCUGCAGCUAACGCAUUAAGCACUCCCGCCCUGGGAGUACGGCCGCAAGGCUG
rnacentral:rRNA from 1 species